CUCAGUGAUGUUUGUCAUUUUUAUUUGCAAUACUUUAGGUCCAAGUUUCAAACUGCAUUAUUUUUACACUCAAGACACAGUCAUGCACAAUCCAUAUUUCAAUUUUCUAUUGCUUCAACCACAAUUUAAAGUAACAAUAUAAUAAACAAAAGUCCUUAAAAAGAGCAGAUGCUGAGGUCAGAAGGAUGGAACCAUACCAUCAGCAGGUUUACAAAAGAAAUAAUUUACUUAAAAAAUCAAACAGAAAGACCAUAAAUACCUUUAAUUCAGUUACAGAAGAAUUUCACUACACAUGGGUUUACAGAUAACACAUUUUAACAAAAGUAAAGCACAGCCAAAUGAGAUACAAUUCUGAUAAUGAAAACACAGAUCCUCCUUAAUUUGUUUUGUCUGGAUAUUAUGAGUAUAAUCCCAGUACACAUCACUAACUACCCUGUGAUCUGUCUCUUCCUUGCUGAUGUACUGAGAUUUAAAACUCAACCCACUAGUGGUUACAGAAUUCUGUGAAAGGUCUUAUUAUCACUAAUGAAUAUAGUAUAUGCGGGUCCAUAAAGCACACCACACACAAGCACACACACUGAACUUGAAUUUCACACUUAGGGCUGGUUGGCACUGCUGUAGGCAGGGCAUUGGGACUGUCCACUAACUACAAGUUGAUCCUCUUUCUAGUAUCAUACUCAUCCAAUUGGCCAAUCCCUGUGGGAGCUGUCAUCAGAAAUGCUGUCUUUGGUUCCCAAGUGGAUUUGUCAACACUCCUUAAUGCUAAUAGCACAUAAUCAUUUUUUCCUUUUUCUCUCUGCAACCUGCAAAUGUUUAGGCCCACUCAGUAGUCCCAGCCAUGGCAUGGGUUCUGCCAUCUUGUGCCAUUUUGGAAGUAAACUCUAUAAAGCCCAACACUGCUUCAUAGGGAAGGAGAGGCCGAAGUACAGUUCUAUUCUAGCAAGUGUGACAGUGUUUCUGUUCUAGUAGCAAAUACUGGCCACAGCUUAAUGAAAUCCAGACUUUACAUACAGAGUGUAUGGAAAAGAAAAACUGGAACACUAAACAGGAAAGGAACACUAAAUCAAAAACAAAACAACAGUGAAGGAAUUGGAAGGCUGCCACGAGUUUUAUCAACAUUCCCUAGUAUUUAUUCACUUCAUUUACUUGAGGUUUGAUUUUUUUUUUGGCAUCAUCUUACAUAGUUCUAUUGUUUAACUGCAAUAUAAGAGACCCAGGCUUAAGCAUAUGAUAUUUGCCAUCACUUUAGCAGGAUGAAUUAGCAAGGCAAUCUAU
ensembl:lncRNA